AGAUUGGUUCAAAAUAUGACCUGGUCGCCACUUUCGGACCGGUCGCUCCAGAUGGCUAUGGAAUUUGUUACAAUCCUCAGAGUAAUUGUGUACGAUAUUCUAUCACGGCGUUCAACAGCAACGCACAAACUGACGCCGUGAAAAUGGGUGAAGCUGUUCAACAAAGUUUUGAUCAAAUUGGAAUGAUUUUAUCGUCAGCACAUCUCUGAGUGGAACGUAUGUAUAUACUGUAGUUAGGUUGUGAAAAGGAUAUAGUAUAUGGUUGCAAUUAAGUCUCUGCAAUUAAGUAAAUUGAAAUGGAAAAUAUUGAUAUGUUCGGAAACUGAAUGUAAAUUUCUAGUUUGGGGAAUAUUAAGAGGCAAUUUAUUUCCAUGUCGCGGAUUUGCGACGAAAAGCUUUCAAAACCUUCUUGACGUAUUUCUUUUUUUGAACAGCCGAGCCCAAGAAUUUCAGGUUAAUAAGCCACCUAACAUAAUAUCUGCAAUGAUCUAGCUAUAGCCUAGUAUAGGUAUGUUUAUUUUCUCCUUAGAAUAUAUUUCCUUUACCACGCAUUAAUUUGUAAAAUAAUAAAAACACUGCAUUUGUUUCAUCCACAAUUUUUUUUCAUAUUAUAAAAACAACACGUCACACACACCCCUGUUCAAAUCCUCAACGGGAAUUGGUAGUAAAAUACCUAUGAAAACCGAUUCUUUAAGGAGUAAAAAACUACCCCCAUUGAAGUAUUGAUCUUACAUAAACUUUAAUUUCCGGGCUUUUUACUGUUGGUAAAUGCAUAUAUGAGCAUGUCAAAAAUUUCCUUAAUGUAUUGCUAGCUUUGAUCAGAGUGAGGGAAUGUUAUUUCUUUUCAUUUUUAUAGUCUGUAGUAUAGUCCUGUUUUAAAUAGAUAUAAUUGAGAGAUGAAGUCACUAUACUCUGUGCUUCAAUUUUCUUUACUCGUUACUUUUCU